CAGAAUAUUGAAUGCUGGGAUCGGAUACAUUUGGCAACCAGGAAACAUUUUAACUGCGAGUCUUAACACAAAGGGAUCACGUGAUUAUAUGGACUAUGAGCACCAAGGGACUAUCAAUAGUAUUGAGAAAUCACCUUAUUAAGUCUUGACAAAAAUGAGGAACACGCUGUACAAGCAUUGGAAACAAGUCUGCCCUAUCUGGAGAAAUGUCAAAAUGUGAUGCAUGAUUCAAUCAGAGAAGGCUGUCAGUCAAUCAGUAAUGAAAACCAGACUGAAUGUGUGGAUAAGGUUCUAGAAACUGUUCAAGCAUCUGCAGGACUCAAAAUUGGACCAUAUAUCUUAAGUGCAAUAUACUGGACAGUGAAUAAAAUUGUUUUUUUCUCCCACAAGCCUUAUGCAAGGUGGAUUUCAGAAUAUAAGUUAAACUGGUAUAUGACU